GCAGAAUCUGAGGUGCAUCACACAGUGUUAGGUCCUGCGGCUCUCAGGAGGGUACAACUCCCAGGAUCAGCUCCAGGGUGAACACAAGACAGUGUUUGCCACGUCCAUAGAAAAGAAAAACACUUCAAAAGAAUAACUCUUGAACAGAAUCAAAUCGCAGUCACUGGCAAGUGUUUAACAAAAUUACCAGGGAAGCGAAAGUGAAAUCCAUCGAUGUAAUGCUGUCUGUGCAGCAGCCAUAGCACAAACUGUGACCCUGCAUCGCUGCCGUGGUCCUGAGCUCUGUCUGGAAGGAGCCAACGUGAAACGUCGCUGACACAGAGGACAGUCAGGCAUGUGAAUCUAGAAUGGGAAGACACAGUGCAAUCCUUCAGAGAACUAGCUCAGCCAAUGAGGACAAAG